CAAGUUGAGAAGAUGCUGCAAGAUUCAGCUUGUCUCUGGAGAGGAUGAGCUUCCUCGGUUGGAGGAACUCAGGACAGAUGCUGCCUGCGGUGCAAGAUCUUUGUGGCUCAGGACCCCAAUAUCUCCUGGAAUGUCUCUCCCAAAAUGAAAGCCUCUGGCCACUUAGAUCUUCAUCUAAGCCCUUCUCCAGGUCCCUCCUUCGAGGGAGGCUCAGAAGAUGGUGACAAAGGAGAAGGCCUUUCCACUGGCAACUUCUCAUCUGUGGAGCCACAUCUUCUGGCUGCAAAUUUCAUACUUUUAACAUUAAAGCUCUUUCACCUCCACCC